rnacentral:rRNA from 1 species
AGUGAACGCUGGCGGUAGGCCUAACACAUGCAAGUCGAACGGCAGCACAGUAAGAGCUUGCUCUUACGGGUGGCGAGUGGCGGACGGGUGAGGAAUACAUCGGAAUCUACUUUUUCGUGGGGGAUAACGUAGGGAAACUUACGCUAAUACCGCAUACGACCUACGGUUGAAAGCAGGGGAUCUUCGGACCUUGCGCGAUUGAAUUAGCCGAUGUCGGAUUAGCUAGUUGGCGGGGUAAAGGCCCACCAAGGCGACGAUCCGUAGCUGGUCUGAGAGGAUGAUCAGCCAAACUGGAAGUGAGACACGGUCCAGACUCCUACGGGAGGCAGCAGUGGGGAAUAUUGGACAAUGGGCGCAAGCAUGAUCCAGCCAUACCGCGUCGGUGAAGAAGGCCUUCGGGUUGUAAAGCCCUUUUGUUGGGAAAGAAAAGCAGCAGGUUAAGACCCCGCUGUUCUGACGGUACCCAAAGAAUAAGCACCGGCUAACUUCGUG